UACGGUGGGGGCAAGCGUUGUUCGGAAUUACUGGGCGUAAAGGGCUCGUAGGCGGCCAACUAAGUCAGACGUGAAAUCCCUCGGCUUAACCGGGGAACUGCGUCUGAUACUGGAUGGCUUGAGGUUGGGAGAGGGAUGCGGAAUUCCAGGUGUAGCGGUGAAAUGCGUAGAUAUCUGGAGGAACACCGGUGGCGAAGGCGGCAUCCUGGACCAAUUCUGACGCUGAGUGAGCGAAAGCCAGGGGAGCAAACGGG
rnacentral:rRNA from 1 species